CAAUGCAUUAGAUGGCAUGGCUACCGGUACGUGACUGUGCUGCACAAGAUAUGUCACUUCUGAGAGGAAAACAGUUGAGUAUGAUCCUUAUCUCUUUGAUUCUGAUGAAGAACCUGUUGACAAAAGAAUCAAG